rnacentral:rRNA from 1 species
AUACGGAGGAUCCGAGCGUUAUCCGGAUUUAUUGGGUUUAAAGGGUGCGCAGGCGGCCAUUUAAGUCAGCGGUUAAAUCGUGGGGCUCAACCCCAUUCUGCCGUUGAUACUGGGUGGCUUGAUUGCGGUCGAGGUUGGCGGAAUUCGUUGUGUAGCGGUGAAAUGCAUAGAUAUGACGAAGAACACCGAUUGCGUAGGCAGCUGACCAGAUCGCAAACUACGCUCAUGCACGAAAGUGCGAGGAUCGAACAGUAUUAGAUGCCCUGGUAGUCCGCACAGUAAACGAUGAAUACUUGUUUUCGGCGAUAUAAUGUCGGAGGCAAAGCGAAAGCGAUAAGUAUUCCACCUGGGGAGUACGCCGGCAACGGUGAAACUCAAAUGAAUUGACGGGG